GACGAACGCUGGCGGCGUGCUUAACACAUGCAAGUCGAACGGAAAGGCCCUGCUUUUGUGGGGUGCUCGAGUGGCGAACGGGUGAGUAACACGUGAGUAACCUGCCCUUGACUUUGGGAUAACUUCAGGAAACUGGGGCUAAUACCGGAUAGGAGCUCCUGCUGCAUGGUGGGGGUUGGAAAGUUUCGGCGGUUGGGGAUGGACUCGCGGCUUAUCAGCUUGUUGGUGGGGUAGUGGCUUACCAAGGCUUUGACGGGUAGCCGGCCUGAGAGGGUGACCGGGCAAAAGGGGGAGAGAGUGCGGCCCAGCCCCCUGGGGGGGGGAAGAGGGGGGAAUUUUUCAACAGGGGGGGGAGCCUGAAGGCAGCACCCCGGGGGGGGGGUGAGGGGCCGUGGGUUGUAACCCGCUUUGCGCCGGGGAGGAGGGGGGGGGGGGGGAAGGGUAAAAGAAGCACCGGCCAAACUCGGCC
rnacentral:rRNA from 1 species